rnacentral:rRNA from 1 species
GAAUUCAGACAAACUCCGAAUGCCAAUUAAUUUAACUUGGGAGUCAGAACAUGGGUGAUAAGGUCCGUGUUCGAAAGGGAAACAGCCCAGACCACCAGCUAAGGUCCCAAAAUAUAUGUUAAGUGGAAAAGGAUGUGGCGUUGCCCAGACAACUAGGAUGUUGGCUUAGAAGCAGCCAUCAUUUAAAGAGUGCGUAAUAGCUCACUAGUCGAGUGACACUGCGCCGAAAAUGUACCGGGGCUAAACAUAUUACCGAAGCUGUGGAUUGUCCUUUGGACAAUGGUAGGAGAGCGUUCUAAGGGCGUUGAAGCAUGAUCGUAAGGACAUGUGGAGCGCUUAGAAGUGAGAAUGCCGGUGUGAGUAGCGAAAGACGGGUGAGAAUCCCGUCCACCGAUUGACUAAGGUUUCCAGAGGAAGGCUCGUCCGCUCUGGGUUAGUCGGGUCCUAAGCUGAGGCCGACAGGCGUAGGCGAUGGAUAACAGGUUGAUAUUCCUGUACCACCUAUAAUCGUUUUAAUCGAUGGGGGGACGCAGUAGGAUAGGCGAAGCGUGCGAUUGGAUUGCACGUCUAAGCAGUAAGGCUGAGUAUUAGGCAAAUCCGGUACUCGUUAAGGCUGAGCUGUGAUGGGGAGAAGACAUUGUGUCUUCGAGUCGUUGAUUUCACACUGCCGAGAAAAGCCUCUAGAUAGAAAAUAGGUGCCCGUACCGCAAACCGACACAGGUAGUCAAGAUGAGAAUUCUAAGGUGAGCGAGCGAACUCUCGUUAAGGAACUCGGCAAAAUGACCCCGUAACUUCGGGAGAAGGGGUGCUCUUUAGGGUUAACGCCCAGAAGAGCCGCAGUGAAUAGGCCCAAGCGACUGUUUAUCAAAAACACAGGUCUCUGCUAAACCGUAAGGUGAUGUAUAGGGGCUGACGCCUGCCCGGUGCUGGAAGGUUAAGAGGAGUGGUUAGCUUCUGCGAAGCUACGAAUCGAAGCCCCAGUAAACGGCGGCCGUAACUAUAACGGUCCUAAGGUAGCGAAAUUCCUUGUCGGGUAAGUUCCGACCCGCACGAAAGGCGUAACGAUUUGGGCACUGUCUCAACGAGAGACUCGGUGAAAUCAUAGUACCUGUGAAGAUGCAGGUUACCCGCGACAGGACGGAAAGACCCCGUGGAGCUUUACUGUAGCCUGAUAUUGAAAUUCGGCACAGCUUGUACAGGAUAGGUAGGAGCCUUUGAAACGUGAGCGCUAGCUUACGUGGAGGCGCUGGUGGGAUACUACCCUAGCUGUGUUGGCUUUCUAACCCGCACCACUUAUCGUGGUGGGAGACAGUGUCAGGCGGGCAGUUUGACUGGGGCGGUCGCCUCCUAAAAGGUAACGGAGGCGCUCAAAGGUUCCCUCAGAAUGGUUGGAAAUCAUUCAUAGAGUGUAAAGGCAUAAGGGAGCUUGACUGCGAGACCUACAAGUCGAGCAGGGUCGAAAGACGGACUUAGUGAUCCGGUGGUUCCGCAUGGAAGGGCCAUCGCUCAACGGAUAAAAGCUACCCCGGGGAUAACAGGCUUAUCUCCCCCAAGAGUUCACAUCGACGGGGA